rnacentral:rRNA from 1 species
GAUGAACGCUGGCGGCGUGCCUAAUACAUGCAAGUCGAGCGAACAGACGAGGAGCUUGCUCCUCUGACGUUAGCGGCGGACGGGUGAGUAACACGUGGAUAACCUACCUAUAAGACUGGGAUAACUUCGGGAAACCGGAGCUAAUACCGGAUAAUAUAUUGAACCGCAUGGUUCAAUAGUGAAAGACGGUUUUGCUGUCACUUAUAGAUGGAUCCGCGCCGCAUUAGCUAGUUGGUAAGGUAACGGCUUACCAAGGCAACGAUGCGUAGCCGACCUGAGAGGGUGAUCGGCCACACUGGAACUGAGACACGGUCCAGACUCCUACGGGAGGCAGCAGUAGGGAAUCUUCCGCAAUGGGCGAAAGCCUGACGGAGCAACGCCGCGUGAGGGAUGAAGGUCUUCGGAUCGUAAAACUCUGUUAUUAGGGAAGAACAACUGUGUAAUUAACUAUGCACGUCUUGACGGUACCUAAUCAGAAAGCCACGGCUAACUACGUG